rnacentral:rRNA from 1 species
GGAUGAGCCCGCGGCCUAUCAGCUUGUUGGUGGGGUAAUGGCCUACCAAGGCGUCGACGGGUAGCCGGCCUGAGAGGGUGGACGGCCACAUUGGGACUGAGACACGGCCCAGACUCCUACGGGAGGCAGCAGUGGGGAAUAUUGCACAAUGGGCGCAAGCCUGAUGCAGCGACGCCGCGUGGGGGACGAUGGCCUUCGGGUUGUAAACUCCUUUCAACCAUGACGGAGCUUUCGGGUGACGGUAGUGGUAGAAGAAGCACCGGCUAACUACGUGCCAGAGCCGCGGCCG